ACAGGUGCUGCAUGGCUGUCGUCAGCUCGUGUCGUGAGAUGUUGGGUUAAGUCCCGCAACGAGCGCAACCCUUAUCUUUAAUUGCCAGCAUUCAGUUGGGCACUUUAAAGAGACUGCCGGUGUUAAACCGGAGGAAGGUGGGAUGACGUCAAGUCCUCAUGGCCUUUAUGCUUAGGGCUACACACGUGCUACAAUGGGUGGUACAAAGAGAAGCCAACUCGCGAGAGCGCGCCAAUCUCAAAAAGCCAUCCUCAGUUCGGAUUGGAGUCUGCAACUCGACUCCAUGAAGUUGGAAUCGCUAGUAAUCGCGGAUCAGCAUGCCCGCGGUCCGAAUACGUUCCGGGCCUU
rnacentral:rRNA from 1 species